GGCAAGGUGGCCGAGUGGUUAUGGCGUCAGUUUUAGGAAAUCCAUCCACUGAUUCGAAAGAGCGCGGGUUCGAAUCCCGUCCUUGUCA